rnacentral:rRNA from 1 species
UGGGGAAUAUUGCACAAUGGAGGGAACUCUGAUGCAGCGACGCCGCGCGAGUGAUGAAGGAAUUCGUUUCGUAAAACUCUGUUCUAUGGGAAGAAAAGGACUGUACCAUAGGAGAAAGCUCCGGCUAAAUACGUGCCAGCAGCCGCGGUAAUACGUAUGGAGCGAGCGUUGUCCGGAAUUAUUGGGCGUAAAGGGUGCGCAGGCGGCUUUACAAGUUGGAUGUGAAAUAUUGUGGCUCAACCACAAACGUGCAUCCAAAACUGCAAAGCUUGAGUUAAGGAGAGGUAAGUGGAAUUCCUGGUGUAGCGGUGGAAUGCGUAGAUAUCAGGAGGAAUACCGGUGGCGGAGGCGACUUACUGGACUUAAACUGACGCUCAGGCACGAAAGCGUGGGGAACAAACAGG